GGGGCAGUAGCUCAGUGGUAGAGCAAGUAGUUUUGAAAUUAUCUUUUAGGUCAAUCAAAACUUACUUCUACACUUUUAAUGUCUGUGUCGUGGGUUCGAGUCCCACCUGCUCCA
rnacentral:tRNA from 1 species